GCAUGUGGUUUAAUUCGAUUGAUACGCGAAGAAUCUUACCGGGUUUGCAUGCAGGUGAUCGCCGUUUGAAAGACGGUUUUCCUCUUUCGGAGGCACCUGCACAGGUGCUGCAUGGCUGUCGUCAGCUCGUGUCGUGAGAUGUUGGGUUAAGUCCCGCAACGAGCGCAACCCUUAUCCCCAGUUGCCAUCAGGUAAAGCUGGGAACUCUGGGGAGACUGCCGGUGAUAAACCGGAGGAAGGCGGGGAUGACGUCAAGUCCUCAUGGCCCUUACAUCCCGGGCUACACACGUGCUACAAUGGCAGGUACAGAGGGCUGCGAAGCCGCGAGGUGGAGCGAAUCCCAGAAAACCUGUCUCAGUCCGGAUUGAAGUCUGCAACUCGACUUCAUGAAGGCGGAAUCGCUAGUAACCGCGAAUCAGCAGGUCCGCGGUCGAAUACGUUCCCGGGCCUU
rnacentral:rRNA from 1 species